GAGAGAAGAGGGAGAAGAAACAUUAAAUAUAAAGCAGGCAAAUGAAUCACGAUGCAUGGCAUGGCAAAAUGCAGGGUUAGGCAUGCAUUAAUGCAGUAUUAGUCGUCAAGGGCGAAAACGAUAUUUUCUCGGUGUGUGGCUACUAUCGGACAGGCGAAAACGAUGAAGAAGUUAUAUGUUCUCUAUGAUAAAGACGCGUGACACACGAACGGACGGCGUAUCCGAGUUCGUCUCAUUUUUGUGAUCAACUUUCAUGUAUAAAUUAUUCUCAUCCAGAUUACGGGUUUUUUUAAAUUAAUUUCCAAAGUUUUAACAAUAUUUUAGAUUAUCCUAAUUCGAAAAUAAAAGCAGAAAUACUUUUCUCAUAUGGGGCUAUGCUAGCCAGUGUGUCCGGUCAGCAGUAGUUGACCAGUCAAGAUUGACUGGUCUACACGGUCAAAAGGGGCCCACUUGUCAUUGUCACAUGUGGGCACUUAAAUCAUUCAGCUUAUUUAACUAGGGGUGGGGCCACAUGUCAUAGGGUAGCAAUUAUCCUAAUUAUUAAUUAGCCUAGUUACACACUGAUUAACCUUACUAACAAAUCAUCCCCUAAACUAAAUCUACCUAACACUAAUUAACUUUAAUAGGGCCGGUUCUACACACACUCACACACAUCAUUCACACACCUAACCAUGGCCAUGGCAGCAGCGGGUAGCACGGCUAAGGGCAGCAGCAUGGCAAAAGAGCAGCAGCAGCGACUAGCUAUAGCAGCGAAUAAGCAGCAGCAGGGAGCAGUAACUAGCGGCAGCGACAGGGCAUAGCAG
rnacentral:lncRNA from 1 species